UACGUAGGGACCGAGCGUUGUCCGGAUUCAUUGGGCGUAAAGAGCUCGUAGGCGGCUGCUCAAGUCGAAUGUGAAAACUCGAGGCUCAACCUCGAGCCUGCAUUCGAUACUGGGCGGCUAGAGUCUGGUAGGGGGAUCUGGAAUUCCUGGUGUAGGCGGUGGAAUGCGCAGAUAUCAGGAGGAACACCGGUGGCGAAGGCGGGAUCCUGGGCCAGUACUGACGCUGAGGAGCGAAAGCGUGGGGAGCAAACAGG
rnacentral:rRNA from 1 species